rnacentral:lncRNA from 1 species
UUUGUGACUACCUGUAACAUCUGAGUAUGCUCGUCAGAAGUCACUCCGAGGAAAAAUCUGAUUAUUAGUUGGGAAAAUGGGGCAAGGAGGAGGCAGAGAAGAGAAGUAGCUCUGCUGGGUAUGUGGCAGUGUGACUUCUGGAACUGUUUGUGGCUCUCGUAGCCGAAUGGAAUGAAGCGAAGCCUUCAUGUCAGCAUUGGGCUUGCAGCUGCUGAGCCCCCGAUGGUGGCCCCUCUUCCCGGCUUUCUCUCAGGGGCAGGGGUGGGGAGGAGAUAUUCAACUACUUCCAACGGAAACCAACACUUGAAAGGUUAUGAAGGCCCCUAAACCUCCUGCUCUUCCAUGGUGAUGGCUGACAGCUAAAGCCACACUGCCACUACCCUAAGCCCAAGCUUGAUCACCUGGAAAUGGGGACUGAGAGAGGACGAGAACAGCACAGCCUUUGAGCUCUCAUGGGGUGGCGUAAAUUUAUGGUCAGUAUGCCUCCAGAUCAGAGGUCCUGCUGUUAGAGAGUUUUCUUUUUUUGCUUUAAUGGUACACAGGAAUUCUCCCCCAGCCCCCUCAAAAUACUCACACAUCUUUUUAAAAUUUGCACCUUUUUUUCAGUCUGGUUUCCUAUGGUGAAGGGGAGGCUAGGAAAUGCCCAAUAAAUCAUCUGUCUGUCUUCACUCAAUUGAAAGGCAGGAAAUGCAGAGAACAGUCACGUUACCUUUCCACUUUGCAUAUAACAAGAGCUAUCAGGACCUGUUCCUUUGAAGGGGAGGCCCUUCUGACAGCAAUAUUAAAUUUUCAAGGCCACUGGAGUUUGUUUCUUGGGACCAGACCCAAAGUGGGCAGGCAUGUGGGAUGUUGGCUGUUUCCCCUUCCAGCCCCUUCUAGGAGUAACUUCUUGGGCUUACCCUGGGAAAUCUACUCAGUCAGCAAUGAUUUAGGGCCUCCAUGUGCACAGCACCAUUGUAAGUCUAUGUGGAUUAAAGGAAUUCUACUCUUGGGUCCUAAUUCUUAACAAAUUUACGUCUUAGUUGGUGCAACAGCUAACCCAUGUACAUAAAAUAAUGACCCC